rfam:Pan troglodytes isolate Yerkes chimp pedigree #C0471 (Clint) chromosome 1, whole genome shotgun sequence.
GCUGGGUGUGGUGGUGCACGCCUGUAAUCCCAGCUACUGAGGAGGCUGAGGCAGGAGAAUUGCUUGAACCCAGGAGGCAGAGGUUGCAGUGAGCCAAGAUCAUGCUACUGCACUCCAGUCUGGGUGACAGAGCAAGACUCUGUCUCAA